rnacentral:lncRNA from 1 species
CUUUCCUGGCCUAGAAGUGUAAAUGUCUGUGUCUGUUGGUGAGACAGAGGACGUGGGCGCCCGCCGAAGAGAAGGCGCCUAGGCGCUGUCCGUAGUGCUGAAAUGGUGCGUGGUGAGACCUGUCUCCCCAACACAAGCUAGAAGACAACAAAAUAGCAGCCAGGAAACGCUCUGAUAAAGCUCUAGAUAGCUGCCAGGUGAUGCCAGAGAUUACUAGUUUUGGGACCAAUUAAAGUAGCAAGAUGCAGCCAGGAGUGGUGGCUUAUGCCUGUAAUCCCAGCACUUUGGGAGGCCGAGGUAGGAGGAUCACCUGAGGCCGAGCUCAAGGGAGCAGAACUAAGUUACAUGAUUCUGCUGCGGAUGUAUAAGCACCACUCCAAUAAUUUAUUAUCACGGUUGGAGACUUUGACUUGUCACUUUAUGACUUGAAAUAUGGCUCCAUGGUAAAUGCCCAUAAAGCUGAUUUUUAAAAUCUGGAUAUUACAGUUCUAAUUCUCACUUAGUUUAAAAGGUAGAAUAGGCUUCUUGUUUCAUAGAUCAUUUGUGUGAAUGUUGAUUUGUUAUGUCAUUGACAUCAUACACACAUGCUUACAUUUUGAAGGUUGCUAGCGUUUCCCAUUAAUGCUUCUGAAUUGAUGCCAAAGGAAAGCAUUGAUUAUAAAUUAGGUUCCUUGGUAUUAGUUGGUGCAUGACCCUGACCCUUUUCAAGCUAUAUGAAAGGUAAUGAUGCUCUCAAAAGCCUGCAAAAUGGCUUAUUCAGGAAAGCAUAAUGGAUUAAAAAUCCAUUAGGUUCCACUUUCUUUGCUAGAUGCUGAGAUACAAAGAUAAAUGAGAUUUGGUCUCUGCCCUCGAGGAGAUACGUGGCAAAAUAAUAUGGUAAGUUCUACAAAGUUCUAUACAAACACAGAUUAAUAUGCUAUUCAUGUUUUAUUAGCCAUUGCCAAAGAAGGGAUGAAGAACUGCAAAAAGAUAAAACACAGAAUACUUGUACUUCAGGUCCUUGCCAAUAUCUACUGCCCAACUUUUACAAAAAAAAUUGCUGAAAGGCAUGAAAUAUAUGAAUGCCUUUCUAAAGCACAUGUGGAUAAUCUAUACUUCUGGAGCAUCUAUGAUUUAUUUUCAGAACAAUCCAAGUUAUUAGAAAGGUAAAUAUGUUGGUGACAUUGUUUAGAAGUUCCUCAAGCAGAAUUGCCUUUACUAUGCUUUGACAUUAUGCUCUCAGCUUAUAUACAGUAAUUCUAUGUGAAACAGUAGCCAGCUUACACAACCUGCUCUAUAUCUACUACAGAGCUGUUACUAAAGUGUUGGUCAACAUAUAACUUACUAUUUCUUAUAUAAAGAUGCCCAAGAAAUUUAGAUUUCAUAGAUAUAUCCCCAAAAGCAUUUCUUUCAAUACCAGUUUAAUGAAUUGAACUUUCAUACCUCACUUAAAUCAACCCAGGGUAAAGUGGUAUGUUCUGUUCUUACACACAAUGAAAAUCAUGUAACUAAUUAAAGUUAGCAUUUAUUUUAGCUACUAGGGAUGCCAGAGUCAAAUUAACAGCUGAAAAUGAAUAACUACAUAAGACCUUAAGCCUUUUAUAUCUUUUCUUUUUUUUUAAUCACCUUAACUACUGCAAUUUUGGUUUCUUAGGUAAUGAUAAUAUUAUUUUCUUUUAAUUAUUUGUUUUAAUGUGUGACCUCAUGUAAAUGUCCUCAUAAAAUCAGAAGUGGAGUAAAUAAAUAAAUAAAGUAAAUUUCUCUAC